GACGAACGCUGGCGGCGUGCCUAAUACAUGCAAGUUGAGCGAUGAAGAUUGGUGCUUGCACCAAUUUGAAGAGCAGCGAACGGGUGAGUAACGCGUGGGGAAUCUGCCUUUGAGCGGGGGACAACAUUUGGAAACGAAUGCUAAUACCGCAUAACAACUUUAAACAUAAGUUUUAAGUUUGAAAGAUGCAAUUGCAUCGCUCAAAGAUGAUCCCGCGUUGUAUUAGCUAGUUGGUGAGGUAAAGGCUCACCAAGGCGAUGAUACAUAGCCGACCUGAGAGGGUGAUCGGCCACAUUGGGACUGAGACACGGCCCAAACUCCUACGGGAGGCAGCAGUAGGGAAUCUUCGGCAAUGGACGAAAGUCUGACCGAGCAACGCCGCGUGAGUGAAGAAGGUUUUCGGAUCGUAAAACUCUGUUGGUAGAGAAGAACGUUGGUGAGAGUGGAAAGCUCAUCAAGUGACGGUAACUACCCAGAAAGGGACGGCUAACUACGUG
rnacentral:rRNA from 1 species